rnacentral:rRNA from 1 species
AUUGAACGCUGGCGGAAUGCUUUACACAUGCAAGUCGAACGGCAGCACGGGGGCAGCCCUGGUGGCGAGUGGCGAACGGGUGAGUAAUACAUCGGAACGUGCCCGGUCGUGGGGGAUAACGUAGCGAAAGUUCCGCUAAUACUGCAUACGAUCUGAGGAUGAAAGCGGGGGACCUUCGGGCCUCGCGCGAUCGGGGCGGCCGAUGGCCGAUUAGGUAGUUGGUGGGGUAAAGGCCUACCAAGCCGGCGAUCUGUAGCUGGUCUGAGAGGACGACCAGCCACACUGGGACGGAGACACGGCCCAGACGCCUACGGGUGGCAGCAGUGGGGAAUUUUGGACAAUGGGCGCGAGCCUGUGCCAGCCAGGCCGCGUGCAGGACGAAGGCCUUCGGGUUGUAAACUGCUUUUGUACGGAACGAAAAGGCUCUGGCUAAUACCUGGGGCUCAUGACGGUACCGUAAGAAUAAGCACCGGCUAACUACGUG